AUUGAACGCUGGCGGCAGGCUUAACACAUGCAAGUAGAGCGGGAGAAGGUAGCUUGCUACCGGACCUAGCGGCGGCCGGGUGAGUAAUGCUUAGGAAUCUGCCUAUUAGUGGGGGACAACAUCUCGCAAGGGAUGCUAAUACCGCAUACGUCCUCCGGGAGAAAGCAGGGGAUCUUCGGACCUUGCGCUAAUAGAUGAUCCUAAGUCGGAUUAGCUAGUUGGUGGGGUAAAGGCCUACCAAGGCGACGAUCUGUCGUGGGUCUGAGAGGAUGAUACGCCACACUGGGACUGAUACACGGCCCAGACUCCUACGUGAGGCAGCAGUGGGGAAUAUUGGACAAUGGGGGGAACCCUGAUCCAGCCAUGCUGCGUAUGUGAAGAAGGCCUUAUGGUUGUAAAGCACUUUAAGCGAGGAGGAGGCUACUCUAGUUAAUACCUAGGGAUAGUGGACGUUACUCGCAGAAUAAGCACCGGCUAACUCUGUGCCAGCCGCCGCAGUAA
rnacentral:rRNA from 1 species